UCAGAUUAAAGAUAAACUAUUUCCAUAAAGUCAAAAACUGCUGUAACAAAGUCUGAUGCAGGCAAUGCAAAUAACGACACAUCAUCCUCUGUUUCACAGAGACCGACACUUUUUUAAAGAGGAUAUGUAGCAUGCACAGAAACUUGCAUGUUGUUUUCCAACUUUUGCACACAAAAAAUUAAUACUUUUAAAAACUUUCAAUCCAAGGACUAUUUGCGCUUUUCUUCUCUGAUGCCAUGAAAAAAAGAUGAGGAAGAAGGCAGGCGAUAAGCUCUAAACAACGAGAUCACUUCCGCUUGUCGCUCAUUUCUUAGAAUGGGGCCCCUCGUACUUCUCUUCUCUUUUUCUCUGCUGCAUUUAUGUGCUACACAAGUGACUCCUGUGUUUGUGCAGACAGGAACAGAUUUACUUCUGGAAGUGAAGAAACCUGUUGUUCUGAAGGGCGGGACAUGAUUUAACAUGGACUGUUGGCAGUGCUAAUGUUGCGAAACUAAUUCAUGGUAUUGAACCAAUCAUUUUUUCAAGUUAUGAAUCUAGAGCAGAAUUUUCUGCACAAACUCACUCUCUACUGUUAAAGAACGUACAAAAGGGGGACAGUGGAGUUUACAGAGCACGUGUUUCUGCUGAUAAUAUCUCAGAUGUAGCUGAAUACAGCGUCACAGUUCUGGAUCCAGUGUCUGGAGUGAAGCUGACAGUGAAACUCUGCAG